rnacentral:rRNA from 1 species
CCUACGGGGGGCUGCAGUGGGGAAUAUUGGACAAUGGGGGGAACCCUGAUCCAGCCAUGCCGCGUGUGUGAAGAAGGCCCUCGGGUUGUAAAGCACUUUCAGUGAGGAAGAACGCCUGGUGGUUAAUACCCAUCGGGAAAGACAUCACUCACAGAAGAAGCACCGGCUAACUCCGUGCCAGCAGCCGCGGUAAUACGGAGGGUGCGAGCGUUAAUCGGAAUUACUGGGCGUAAAGCGCGCGUAGGUGGCUUGAUAAGCCGGUUGUGAAAGCCCCGGGCUCAACCUGGGAACGGCAUCCGGAACUGUCAAGCUAGAGUGCAGGAGAGGAAGGUAGAAUUCCCGGUGUAGCGGUGAAAUGCGUAGAGAUCGGGAGGAAUACCAGUGGCGAAGGCGGCCUUCUGGACUGACACUGACACUGAGGUGCGAAAGCGUGGGUAGCAAACAGGAUUAGAUACCCUUGUAGUC